rnacentral:rRNA from 1 species
CCUACGGGAGGCAGCAGUGAGGAAUAUUGGUCAAUGGUCGGGAGACUGAACCAGCCAAGCCGCGUGAGGGAUGAAGGUACAGAGUAUCGUAAACCUCUUUUGUCAGGGAACAAAGGCGGGGACGUGUCCCCGGAUGAGUGUACCUGAAGAAAAAGCAUCGCCUAACUCCGUGCCAGCAGCCGCGGUAAUACGGAGGAUGCGAGCGUUAGCCGGAUUUAUUGGGUUUAAAGGGUGCGCGGGCGGUCUGUUAAGUCAGCGGUCAAACCCCGGGGCGCAACCCCGACCCGCCGUUGAAACUGGCAGUCUCGAGUUGGAGAGAGGGAGGGGGAAUGCGAGGUGUAGCGGUGAAAUGCGGAGAUAUCGGGAAGAAUUCCGGUGGCGAAGGCGGCAUGCCGGCUCCACACUGACGCUGAGGCGCGAAAGCGUGGGUAUCGAACAGGAUUAGAUACCCCUGUAGUC